GGCUCAAUGGUCUAGUAGUAUGAUUCGCGCUUCGGGACGAUGAAUCCUUUGAUUAUAUAAUCAAUCACGUGUGCGAGGUCCCGGGUUCAACUCCCGGUUGAGCCC